rnacentral:rRNA from 1 species
GAUGAACGCUAGCGGCAGGCCUAAUACAUGCAAGUCGAGGGGUAGAAGAGGCUUGCUUCUUUGAGACCGGCGCACGGGUGCGUAACGCGUAUGCAACCUACCUUCAUCUGGGGGAUAGCCCGGAGAAAUCCGGAUUAAUACCGCAUAAAAUCACAGGAUGGCAUUAUCCAAUGAUCAAACAUUUAUGGGAUGGAGAUGGGCAUGCGUGUCAUUAGCUAGUUGGCGGGGUAACGGCCCACCAAGGCGACGAUGACUAGGGGAUCUGAGAGGAUGGCCCCCCACACUGGUACUGAUACACGGACCAGACUCCUACGGGAGGCAGCAGUAAGGAAUAUUGGUCAAUGGAGGCAACUCUGAACCAGCCAUGCCGCGUGCAGGAAGACUGCCCUAUGGGUUGUAAACUGCUUUUAUUCGGGAAUAAACCUCAUUACGUGUAAUAAGCUGAAUGUACCGAAGGAAUAAGGAUCGGCUAACUCCGUGCCAGCCGCCGCCGUAAAAC